rnacentral:lncRNA from 1 species
GGGAUUUGUGGAUUUGCAAGAAGUGUACAGAAAUAUAUUUUUGAAAAAUGAGCAAAGGCACCCAUUUAACAAAGGAUGAUUUUAGAAGCAUCUAGGAAUUGGUUUCACUGGAUUUGGAGUUGAGAUGAUUUUCCUAUGAAUUUGCAAAGUUGGCUAUAUAUAAAGAAAUAGACCAUUAUUUGAGGUGAUACAGAAAGUAUUAGCAAAAAUGUUCAAAAACUAAGUUUUGAACUUAUAGACAUCUAGGAUUUUGAAUCAUGGAAUUUGGAUAAAAAAUGGGCUCUCUGUGAUUUUCUAAAGUUUAUCACAGAAAUAGAAAAAUGGGAUUUUGAUACAUAUUUGUGAAGGAAAUGAUUCUGGAAAAAUGUGCAAAUAGCACCAUGUGAUAGGGAAUGAUUUUAGAAACUACUAGAAAUUUGAAUCAUUGGAUUUGGAGCUCUGUUGGAUUAUUUAUGGAUUUUUGAAGCUGACAUGAAAAAGAAAAAAAAGGAAAUAAGGCUUUAACCUUAUCCUGCGCAGGAGGCAACAGAUAGACCGUGGGCCGGCCCAGCGCGCGGGUGCACGCGCGCGCGCCAGGUUCAAACCUGACGGGCGGGGCCAAGGCGUUAGGGCGAGGGGCUGACGGGCGGGCCCCACGGCGGCCGUCGUCAACCCUAGGCCAGAGGGGACGGCGAGCUCACCGGCGACGGCGUAGGCCACGGCAAGGUCGGGCGAGGGCAUGGCUGGACUCAGCGCUGCGUCGCCGAUCGGGUGGAGGUGGCGGGCGUCACCGGAGCUACCUGGUUCGCCGGCGGCGAGGUCUCGCGGCGGAGGAGCUUCGGGCGUCGACGGCUCCGGCCGUUUCCGGCUGCAAACGAGGCGGGGAAGAGAGGGGAAACGAUCAGGGAGGUGAGGGGAGUCCAGAUCGAGAGAGAGGAGGGGCGGAGGGAGCCCAUACCCUAAGAUCGACAGCGACCCGAGGCGGCGGAGCUCCAGUUGAUCCCGAGCACAGAGGCUCUCCGGGGGUGAUUGGGUGGUGCAGGCGUGCUUCUGGGGUGUGAGAAGGAGGCGAAUGCCACUGGAGCAGCCCGGGGCGAGCUUAAAUAGCCACACGGUGGUCCACCGUGGACCUGUGCGCCGGCGAGCUCGUUGCCGUCGCCACGGGUCACGGGGGCCUGUUUGGUUGUGUCUGGGGUGUUCAUGGGGGUCAACUACGCCCAGGGGAAGAAGAGAGAGAGGGAGCAGGGGGCCAGAGGCACCGCGCGUGUGAGCCGUGCCAUUAGCGCACUCGGGCGACCUCUGUUCGCUAGCGCGGAGGCGCGGGGAGGAGGAGAGAGGAGGGGGCCGACCGCGUAGCGUGUUGCGGACGCCGAGGCGCAUCGGCGGGCGCGCGGGGGAGGCCCGAGGUGGCCGAAGCUGCUUGGCAGGCGGCGGCUACAGUGCGGGAGCGCACUGUAGCGCGCUCCAGAGCGUGCAUAUGGCCGGCAUGGCCAUUUUUCCAGCGCUCUGGGCUUGGCCUCUAGUGUCUGGGGGCUCUAGGGGGAAGUAAACAAAUGGGGAGGGGCAUUGGAUGCCCUGGAUGGCCACUGGAGGGAGGAGGGAGGUGAGGAAGAGAGGGAAAGGGGCUGUCCAGUGGGGUAAAUGAGGUGGUUUCACCCCUCAAUCAUUGAGCUGAGGUAUAGCCAUUGUUACUGGAGGUGAAAGGGGGCUAGGAGGAGUUGUGGUAAAAAGUAGAGGCCAUGGAGAAGAGUGGAAGAGAUCAAAAUGGCAUUUUGGUAAAGUGUUAGAAGGUGUUUGAUAAUGGUUUGGGCAAGAAAAUUAAUUCCACUUGCCAUGAGAACUAACAGGAUGGAAUGUCACAUAGAAUUAGGGUGUUCCACCAAGUUUGAGCUCACUUGGGCAAAGUAGCCAAUGUAACUUUGGUGAACCCUAGAAAUCAGCAGAAAUGGCUUUGCCAAGAUUUAGUCAUGCAAAUCUAUUCUCCUUGAUGCACCACUUGGUUUAGUGCCAUCGUUUGAGGAUUUGAACAUGUCCACAAAAGUUAAGAUCAAAAGGAGAAAGUUGCCAAUGUAGAGUUGUUCAAAUUUCGUUCUGGUCAGAGAGGGUUUUGGGGCACUUUGAUCAAUAUAACUUGUUCUCCAACUUGUGCCACUUGGUCUAGAUGAAUAAUUAGACCAUUGGAGAAUGUUCACAAGGUUUGAGAAUAUUUGGACAUGUUUGGCAAUGUAAAGUUGCUCAAACUUUAAAAUGGACAGAAAUGGUUUUGAGAGGAUUUGAUGAUGUUAUCUUGUUCUCCAAGACAUGAUACUUGGUAAGAUCACCAAAUAUGUCAUAUGUGACAUGAUAGAAUUUUCUUGGAAUUUUUGGGGAAUAUUUCCUUUGUAAAUAUUUCAAAAGCUUGGAAUAUCCAGAAAGCGUUUUUGAGGUAUUUGACCAAUAUUUUGAACAGGACCAUGUGUUGAAACUCUUAUAUAUGGACAAUAUAUUUCCUAUGAGUUUCCCUAAAUUUUGUCAAAUAUUUUUGAAGCAAUAAAAUAAUUUUAACCUAUUUAAGACCAUUUCUGGCCUUAAGAAAAAGCCUUUAAAUAAAAUAAUAAAAUAACUUUUAAAAUUAUAUUUUUGUGGUUUAUGGGAGUCCUACAUCUAAUAGGUUUCAAAUAUAUUUUUGGAAAUAUUUUCCACACCUCAAAUUAAGUACUUGCAGUGCAAAUCUCAAUUCAAGUAUUUUUGGAAAACUAAUUUUAGAAAAUACUUUUUGGCCAAAUUAUUUUUGUAAGAAAAUACUAUAUUGCUCUAUGCACAUGGCAUGAUCAUUGGGAAAAGGUUUUGGAUCAAGGAGAUGAUGUAUAGGAGUUGGAGGAUUUAUUUGAUUUUUAGAGCACUUGCAAACAGUAAACAAAAAUCCAAUCAAGCAAAGUCCAAAACACUCAAAAGUUUUUGUCAAAACACAUUUUAUCAUGAUUUAUUAGCUUAAGUGUUGUGGCAUGAAAAUCAGGUUGUGACAGACCUACCCCCCUUACAAGAAUCUCGUCCCUGUGAUUCCCAGACUAGGCGCGGAAAGGAGUAUGGAAACUUGGAUCUGGGGUAGUCUUCAAGUCCUCAUGUCGCUUCUGCUUCCGUGUAAUGCUCCAUUGAGCUUGAAGUACUUGAUGGUGUGGCUUCGUGUAUGACACUCUUCUUGAUCCAGAUUGCUAGUGGGUAGCUCGCGGUAGGUUAGAUUGGGCUAGGGGUCGAUGGCUCGGUGGUUAAUGUCCUUAUUAGUGAUCGGGCUAGCUAGGAAGUUGGAAACACUUCCGGGGUUGUGAUGCAUGGAAAGCAUUGUGCACAUCAGGUAACUCGGGUGGCAGCUCUAGCUGGUAACUGUCUACUCUUCGUCUUGAAGUGAUCUCAGAGGGGGCCGAUAAAUCUUGGUGUGAUCUUCCCUUUGACAUGGAAAUGCUUGGUUCCUUCGAGAGAAGUGGUUUGCAGAUAUGCCUGGUCUUUGAUGCGGAGGUAUACUUCUUGAAGAUGGUGGUUGGUGUAGUUCUUCCUCCUACACAUGACGAUCUUCAGAUGUUCCUUGACCAGCUCAAUGAUUCUUCUUCCGUCUUCGGGUAGACAAGUACGUCAUCAAAGAAAGGUGACAACUAACUUUUCCAAGCACUCCAUGAAGUCUAUGGGGUACGUAAAGUGGGCUGAGGCAUUGGGGAUGGUCACGGUUGAGCAUUGGCCAAGGUCUUAUCGAUCUAGAGCCAAAGCCCGAGGUCAAGAUCCGACCAUGUUGUGGCUUGGCAAGGCUUAAGGGUUUCAAGGAUUCUAGUAUGCGAGCGAACGUUUGUCACCUUUAUCCUUGAGCACGGUUCCUGAGAUGCCAAUUGUUCUAUCUAGUCCUUUAAACAAAUCACACCAUAUCACUGAUAGUAUCAUUUUGCGUAGGUCAACUCCAAUCAUCGCUGAUGUGAUUCAUAUCCUCAUGGCUCCCGAGAGGAGGUCUAACAAAAUCAUGUAUGUCUACAAUCCCCAAACUCAUAUGUAUGGCUACCCCUAAAAAUCCAUGGGUAGAGCAUAUAAGCUGCUAAGCUUGAACGUGACAAUCCAAGUGCUCAACCUGUUCUUCCAAGGUCUAAGGUAAAGCACCUCUAUCCUAAAGAAACACGUCGUAAGCCACUCCAAGAUCUUGUUUCCUUCCUAUGAAUCAACUCCAACAACCCGUUAACUUCCAUUAAUCACUACAUAAUCUAUUAAUUCUACAAAUCCAACGCCUAUGCUGGUGUUCCACAUGAUCUCCUAAAGUCCUUAUAAUCCCCAAAUACUUGAAAAGGCUAUCUCUAAUAUAGUCAGUCCACCAAUUUCCAUUAUUAUGAUCUAGUAAUACUCCAAGGUCAAGCUCAUCAAGAUGCCUAAAUAAACUCCGACAAUUAGUCCAAUCUCCUAGUUUAUUGUCAUCCGAGAAACAUGGUAUCAUGAUCGAGAUCAUCAGUCUAAAUCCACUUUACUCCGAACCAUGUAGACAUACUCAACAUCUAUAUUCAACUAGAAUCACCUGCUUAAAUCCAAAUCUCUUGUCCAACGAGAAUUCCUACAUGUUCCCCAAGUCAUUUACGUAAUAUCAACUGUCUCCCAACAAUAUCCCAUGCCUAAGUUAAAUCCAAAUACUUCCAAGAAUUCCAGCUUGCGAUCAUAAUUGUCCUAUAAAUCCAAUUUACUCCGGGGUAAUGAAAGCUAUGCUACUCUAUAAUCAUGAUCCCACCAAGUUCAUCUACCAACACGGUAGCCUUAUAAUCCACCAAAUAGACUCAUAUAAUUCCUCAAGUCAUUGAUAUAAACUCAUCAAGUCAUUUGUCCUCUAUUCCUAUACCCUUAAAUUGGUCCUUCCUAUGGCAUCGUCAGUUUUGGUGCUAUCUUAGGAUGAUAAUGUGCUCAUUCACUAUGUCCACUAGUUCCAUAAUGAACCAAGUGAUAAGCAAGGUUACGGAGGCUUAACAGGUUCUCUGGCAAUUCCGUAGGUUAAGCUCAUGGUUAAGGUUUUGAGCUGGGGUAUCUCGUGAAGCCUCGAAGGGUCUAGGAAUGGGUCUCUAAUCUUUAGGGGAAACCAUAACUCUAAGGGGUUGCACUUGGUCGAGGAGGUUGUAGCAAAAGUCUUCAGUGCAUGUUGGUCGCCGAGGUGGAAUCCUUGGUGCAUAUUGUCUUGCUUGUCUUUAGUUGAGGAAAGAGAUGAGAGGGAAAAGUAGCAUAGAGGAGGGGAAUGCCUAAAGGGGGUUCUAUAGUGCUAGUGCAAACAACAGGUGCAAAAAGGGCCAAACAAAAGAAGCAAGGUAAGGAAGGUGAUAUAGUCGCAUACUUGUCGCCUAGGGCAAAAGUGCGACCUAUAUCAAAACACAAACAAAUAAAAACAAGCAACACACAAUCAUGGUUCUAUUCGAACUAUCAUACGGCUCGAUUGCGCAUAGGGGGUACACGAAUCAUCCUACCCUAGGGGUUCUCAGACUCAGUAGUCGUGCCUUGUGCCUCAUGCAGUCUUCUGAGUUUUCCUCAGGUGUUGCUACGUCUCUUGUUUGAUGAAACUAUCUGGGUUGGGCCUGAAGAAUCUUCGACAACUUCUUGCAUGUUGAAGUGAUGGGGUGAAGGUGGCUCCUCAUAACUGGCAUUGACUUGAUCUUCUGUUGUCUUCUUAAUCAUGACGAUCACUUUUGGCUUUUUAAGGUGUUGGCGGUUCCAGGUGGCACUCCUUUAUGCAAUGACAUUAACAAGGCAUAAUAGAGGCCCAAUUUGUCAGACACAUUGUUGACAAUAUCGUCACCGAGAGCAGGGGAUGAAGAGAACCAUUUUCCUGCUCACCAUAGUGAGGCAGACCAAAUGGCUAGGUUCUCAUCCACCAGUGGUUGCCGAUACAACAACGGUAGUGACAGGGUUACCCUAUUAGCGAUGUAUAUCAUGAUCUUGCAUAACCUAUGCCCUGAUCGUCGUAGGCUAAGGUUGCAUCCUCUUGGGGCAGUGUCAAGGGUGUCACCAUCUCCUAGGUCUUCAGGUCCUCAUUCCUCGAGGAUGCAUCUUCUGUUGGUAUUGUCUUGUUGUGAUGUCGCCAAUCUUGUGUUCAGGAGAUGUGGGUGAAUGUCUGGCAAGGCAUCUUCCUUCUUGAUUAUCCACGAGGAUUACAAGGAAUCCAGUGGUUAGGGGCAUAAGGGUUCUAGCGACCAUUAAAUUUUGAAGGGGAAGAGGAAAGUAUAUCUUAGUUUUCGAAAAACUCAGAAGGGGAAGAGAAGUAUAGAUAGUUUUGAAAACUAGUAGUAGUUUUGGAAAUAGUUUUACCCUAACUAACGACCAUGCUAACUAAGGCUUCCUACAGUCAGGAUGGCUCUGAUACCAGCUCUGUGGGGACCCCGACUCAUAAGUCGUGAUCACCGAAUGCACGUGUCCAGUGAUCCCAGAGAUCAAUGCUCACUGAACACACAGAAGCUGAAUAACAAGAGUCUUACAUCCAUACAUACCGUUUUACACAAGUAGGACCAUUAUGGUCGAGUCUUGAGUAUAACAUCGCAGCGGAAAUCUUCGUCAAUAACUUGGACCCAUGCCAUCUGCCUUAACCCUACAGGCAUUCUGACUGGGAAGCAUCCUAGCUCGCAUGUUCGUCACCGAAGUAUUCUUCAUCACAUCCUGUUCUUUCAUGCCUGGCCAAUAAAAUAACCAGUGGCAAGCCAAUGAGUACUUUGAAUGUACUCUCAAGCAACCCAUGUUUUUGGUUCAAGAUACAACAAUGCAUGAUAUAGGUAAAUUUUUGCAGAAAGCUAGUGUUGAGUGCAAUGACAUGUUCAACAACUUUUAAGGGAUGCAUCAAGAGAAUUCAAGUAACCAUGAGGACAGGUUACCGAUAUCAACAUAAAUAGAGUGGGCACCAACCCAACUGAAUCGUGUCAAGUCCCAUGACUUGACCCAAGUCAUUUUAUCAACACACACACACGGUUUGUAAACAAGUGGACGUAGCCCAAGAGCGGUUACCCAACUUUCCUUGACCGUGGACACGGCUAUACGAAUAGUUUUACACUCUGCAGAGGUUGCACACUGUACCCACAAGAUCCGGGGGAUUUCCAUGUCAUCCACGACCCGCGGUACCUCAAGUACCCGGGGUAAGCACCCAAUCACUACCUUUCCCUAGACGACACUAACAUGGAGUCCACUCGAUUGGUAGUGACCCCCGUGCCCAACAUUUCACAUCUUAAAAUCGUGGAGCAUCGCUCCGAUAUUCAUCACAUACUGGCACGGGGUACCAACGGUGUGUCCGGUGCCCCAUAAAAAUGUUCUUGGCCGCCCUACUUGGCACGACCCCGUCCCGAGAGAGCGCACCAACAACUCUCCCGUCACUAGUAAUGCGGGCUCCAAGCUAGUAUCGGUCUAGGUAAUCAAUAAUGCCCUUUCCCAUAUAAGGGUAGAGUGGUUGCGCAUCUAAGGUUGGAAUAACGGUCGCAACUUAAACCAAUCCGUUUUUGAAAACAACAUACACACUUGCCUCGGUACACCACUUCAUCAUCAAGUGGCUACCCAACUCAUCAUCUCCCUCGGGCUUAAGUGGCACCCGUCGGGGUUUUUGAAAAGUCCUUUGAAAAUACUUUGUCUCCAUCACAUGCAUAUUCCCGUCCCUUUUUGCGUAGCAACUACUUAGCAUCCUAUCUACUCCCACCGGCAUAACCCUCAUAAGAAGGUAGGGUCAUGCACAAUGCAAGUAUCAACGAGGAAGUAACAGAGGCAACCAACCUAUGUGGUUCACCAUCUCAUCAUGAUUCCGAUGCAACAACAAAUAAGAGCUAUAUGGCAUGCACAAAAAGGGUUUCAUGGACAUGGUCAAAGGGCUGCUUGCCUGGUUCCUCAGAGUCUUGAAGUGUUCUGGUCCUUCUCCAAGUACUCCGUCUACUUCGUCAACUAACGUCGGAAACAAUCAUAAUAAGCAACACAACAAGGCAAAAAUGAAAGUGCUCUAAAAAUGUGAGUUGGACUUUUCUAUGAUACCUCUGGUCAUAUGAGGAGUGACCAAAGUGGUUUCAUUGGGAUUUGAUGAAUGGACAUCUCUGAACAUUUCAAUAUGAUGGAAUCAAGGGAUUUGUGGAUUUGCAAGAAGUGUACAGAAAUAUAUAUUUGAAAAAUGAGCAAAGGCACCCAUUUAACAAAGGAUGAUUUUAGAAGCAUCUAGGAAUUGGUUUCACUGGAUUUGGAGUUGAGAUGAUUUUCCUAUGAAUUUGCAAAGUUGGCUAUAUAUAAAGAAAUAGACCAUUGUUUGAGGUGAUACAGAAAGUAUUAGCAAAAAUGUUCAAAAACUAAGUUUUGAACUUAUAGACAUCUAGGAUUUUGAAUCAUGGAAUUUGGAUCAAAAAUGGGCUCUCUGUGAUUUUCUAAAGUUUAUCACAGAAAUAGAAAAAUGGGAUUUUGAUACAUAUUUGUGAAGG